GGCUGCUGGAAGGCUAAGGUUCCGAAUGGAAGGAAUCGAAAGCAUUGAAACCGGCAUUGACCACUUCACAUUACAAGACUUGACGUAGACUGCUGGAUUACUACAAGAUAAAGCAGUGACCCAGACUCAGACGAUCGCAAAAUCCCUAUAUUUUUACUAGAUAGCAGAUUCAAUCGUCUUUUGUCCUAGCCGAUGCCAUCCUAAG
rnacentral:lncRNA from 1 species